GUCCCUUCGGGGACAUCCGAUAAAAUUGGAACGAUACAGAGAAGAUUAGCAUGGCCCCUGCGCAAGGAUGACACGCACAAAAUGAAAGAAACACUACAACUCU
rnacentral:snRNA from 1 species